rnacentral:rRNA from 1 species
UGAAUACGAGACGCUACGGCGUCGAAGCAGUCUAUGUCAUACUUCCAAGAAAAGCUCGCAAUGUCAUAAACAAAUAAUGCCUGUACCAUAACCGACACAGGUGGGUAGGUAGAGUAUACUAAGGGGCGCGAGAUAACUCUCUCUAAGGAACUCGGCAAAAUGACUCCGUAACUUCGGGAGAAGGAGUGCCUUAUUUAUAAGGUUGCAAUAACAAGAUCCAAGCAACUGUUUAUCAAAAACACAGGUCUCCGCUAAGUCGUAAGACGAUGUAUGGGGGCUGACGCCUGCCCAGUGCCAGAAGGUUAAAGAAGUUGGUUAGCAUUCGCGAAGCUGAUAACUGAAGCCCUGGUGAACGGCGGCCGUAACUAUAACGGUCCUAAGGUAGCGAAAUUCCUUGUCGGGUAAGUUCCGACCCGCACGAAAGGCGUAAUGAUUUGGAUACUGUCUCGGAGAGGGGCUCGGUGAAAUAGACUUGUCUGUGAAGAUGCGGACUACCUGCACCUGGACAGAAAGACCCUAUGAAGCUUUACUGUAACUUGAAAUUGAAAUUGGACUUUAUUUGCGCAGCAUAGGUGGGAGGCGUUGAGAGUAUUCUUGCGGGAAUAUUGGAGCCAUCAGUGAGAUACCACUCUUGUAAUGUUAGAUUUCUAACUUUGGAUCAUUAUCUGGUCAAAGAACAGUUUCAGGCGGGCAGUUUGACUGGGGCGGUCGCCUCCCAAAUGGUAACGGAGGCGUACAAAGGUUUCCUCUGAACGGGUAGAAAUCGUAUCUAGAGUGUAAAGGCAUAAGGAAGCUUGACUGUGAGACCUACAAGUCGAGCAGGGACGAAAGUCGGUCUUAGUGAUCUGACGGUGCUGAGUGGAAAGGCCGUCACUCAACGGAUAAAAGUUACUCUAGGAUAACAGGCUGAUCUCCCCCAAGAGUUCACAUCGACGGGGAGGUUUGGCACCUCGAUGUCGGCUCAUCGCAUCCUGGGGCGGUAGUACGUCCCAAGGGCUGGGCUGUUCGCCCAUGAAAGCGGUACCGAGCUGGGUUCAGAACGUCGUGAGACAGUUCGGUCCAUAUCCGGUGUAGGCGUUAGAAUAUUGAGAGGAGCCUUCUUUAGUACGAGAGGACCGAGAAGGACAUACCUCUGGUGUACCAGUUAUCGUGCCAACGGUAAACGCUGGGUAGCUAUGUAUGGAGAGGAUAACCGCUGAAAGCAUCUAAGUGGGAAGCCCACCUCAAGAUAAGUAUUC